CACGUAGGGGGCGAGCGUUGUCCGGAUUCAUUGGGCGUAAAGCGCGCGCAGGCGGCUCGGAAAGUCGGGUGUGAAAACUCGGGGCUCAACCCCGGGCGUGCAUCCGAUACUGCCGGGCUUGAGGCAGGUAGGGGAGAUCGGAAUUCCUGGUGUAGCAGUGAAAUGCGUAGAGAUGUGGAGGAACACCGAUGGCGAAGGCAGCCCCCUGGGCUAACACUGACGCUCAGGCACGAAAGCGUGGGGAGCAAACAGG
rnacentral:rRNA from 1 species